rnacentral:misc_RNA from 1 species
GAUGAAGAACGUAGCGAAAUGCGAUACUUGGUGUGAAUUGCAGAAUCCCGUGAACCAUCGAGUCUUUGAACGCAAGUUGCGCCCGAAGCCAUUAGGCCGAGGGCACGCCUGCCUGGGCGUCACACGUCGUUGCCCCCCCAUCUACUCCUUCGGGAUUGCGGGGGGCGGAUGAUGGCCUCCCGUGCGCCUCGUCGCGCGGUUGGCAUAAAUGCCAAGUCCUCGGCGACGCACGCCACGACAAUCGGUGGUUGCGAAACCUCGGUUGCCUGUCGUGUGCGGUCGUCGCGCAUCGAGGGCUCGAAAAAAUUGCCGGGCUUCGGCUCGACUUUCAACGCGACCCCAGGUCAGGCGGGGUUACCCGCUGAAUUUAAGCAUAUCAAUAAGCGGAGGA